rnacentral:tRNA from 1 species
GGGAUUGUGGCUCAGUGGUAGAGCACUCGUCUCGUUCAUGUGAGAACCUGGGUUCAAUUCUCAGCACCA